rnacentral:rRNA from 1 species
UUGGAGGGCAAGUCUGGUGCCAGCAGCCGCGGUAAUUCCAGCUCCAAUAGCGUAUAUUAAAGUUGUUGCAGUUAAAAAGCUCGUAGUUGAAUUUCGGGAUUGGCGCAUCGGUCGUGCCUUACGGGGUAUGAACUGGUGCAGUCAAUUUCUCACCUUCUGGAGAACCGCGAUGUCCUUAAUUGGGUGCCGCGGGGAACCAGGACCUUUACUUUGAAAAAAUUAGAGUGUUUAAAGCAGGCAUUUUUGCUUGAAUACAUUAGCAUGGAAUAAUAAAAUAGGACGGCAUGGUUCUAUUUUGUUGGUUUCUAGGACCACCGUAAUGAUUAAUAGGGAUAGUUGGGGGCAUUAGUAUUCAAUUGUCAGAGGUGAAAUUCUUGGAUUUAUUGAAGACUAACUACUGCGAAAGCAUUUGCCAAGGAUGUUUUCAUUAAUCAAGAACGAAAGUUAGGGGAUCGAAGACGAUCAGAUACCGUCGUAGUCUUAACCAUAAACUAUGCCGACUAGGGAUCGGAUGAUGUUAAUUUUUUAAUGACUCAUUCGGCGCCUUACGGGAAAC